rnacentral:rRNA from 1 species
UACGGGGGGAGCAAGCGUUGCUCGGAUUUACUGGGCGUAAAGGGCGCGUAGGCGGUCAGCACAAGUCAGUUGUGAAAUCUCCGGGCUUAACUCGGAAAGGUCAACUGAUACUGUGCGACUAGAGUGCGGAAGGGGCAACUGGAAUUCUCGGUGUAGCGGUGAAAUGCGUAGAUAUCGAGAGGAACACCUGCGGCGAAGGCGGGUUGCUGGGCCGACACUGACGCUGAUGCGCGAAAGCCAGGGGAGCGAACGGG